rnacentral:rRNA from 1 species
AUGGAUUCCGACUACGGCGUGCCGCGCGAGCUCUCGGAGGUGCAGCAGAAGCGGACUCUCUACCAGCCCGAGCUGCCCCCCUGCCUCCAGGGCACUACUGUGAGGGUGGAGUAUGGUGAUGUGGCGAUCGCUGCUGAUCCAGCUGGCGCUCAUGUAAUCAGCCACGCGUAUCCCCACACAUACGGGCAGCCACUGGCUCAUUUCCUCAGGAAGGCUGCUAAUGUUCCUGAUGCUAAAGUCAUAUCAGAGCACCCUGCCGUCAGGGUUGGUAUUGUAUUCUGUGGAAGGCAGUCCCCAGGAGGCCACAAUGUCAUAUGGGGACUCCAUGAGGCCAUCAAAGCUCACAACGUGAACAGCAAACUUAUUGGUUUCCUCGGAGGAACCGAUGGUCUUCUUGCACAAAAAACUUUGGAGAUCACAAAUGAAGUUCUUUCUUCCUACAAAAACCAAGGUGGUUAUGAUAUGCUUGGUCGGACUAAGGAUCAAAUCAGAACAACGGAGCAAGUCAAUGGUGCAAUGGCUACUUGCCAGGCUUUGAAGUUGGAUGCUCUUGUAAUAAUCGGAGGUGUCACAUCGAAUACAGAUGCUGCUCAACUUGCUGAGACUUUUGCUGAGGCAAAGUGCGCAACAAAGGUUGUAGGUGUUCCUGUAACUUUGAAUGGGGACCUUAAGAACCAGUUUGUUGAGACAACUGUUGGUUUCGAUACCAUAUGCAAGGUGAACUCGCAACUUAUAAGCAAUAUGUGCACUGAUGCUCUAUCUGCUGAGAAGUAUUACUAUUUCAUCCGUAUGAUGGGAAGGAAGGCUUCUCAUGUGGCAUUGGAGUGUGCUCUUCAAUCGCAUCCAAAUAUGGUUAUCCUUGGCGAGGAGGUUGCUGCAUCAAAACUCACAAUUUUUGAUAUCACAAAGCAGAUAUGUGAUGCAGUUCAGGCGAGGGCUGAAAAAGACAAGAAUCAUGGGGUUAUACUUAUUCCUGAGGGCCUUGUGGAGAGUAUUCCUGAAUUAUAUGCUCUUCUACAGGAAAUUAAUGGCCUCCACGGUAAAGGUGUUUCCGUUGAGAAUAUCUCUUCUCAACUUUCUCCUUGGGCAUCUGCGCUAUUUGAGUUUUUGCCCCAAUUUAUUAGGCAGCAGCUGCUUCUCCGUCCUGAAUCUGAUGACUCAGCUCAACUUUCUCAGAUUGAAACCGAAAAGCUUCUAGCUCAAUUGGUUGAGACCGAAAUGAACAAACGUUUGAAGGAAGGCACUUACAAAGGAAAGAAGUUCAAUGCAAUCUGUCACUUCUUUGGCUACCAAGCUAGGGGUGCAAUGCCUUCGAAGUUCGACUGUGAUUAUGCCUAUGUUCUGGGACAUGUGUGUUACCACAUCUUGGCAGCUGGUUUGAACGGUUACAUGGCCACUGUGACAAAUCUUAAGAGCCCCCUGAACAAGUGGCGAUGUGGUGCUGCUCCUAUUUCGUCCAUGAUGACCGUGAAGGGAUGGUCACGUGGCCCUGCAACCACACAAAUCGGGAAGCCAGCUGUGCAUAUGGCUAGUGUUGACUUGAGAGGAAAAGCAUAUGAGAUGUUGAGGCAGAAUUCAUCCAGCUGCUUGUUGGAAGACAUCUACAGAAACCCUGGGCCACUCCAAUUCGAAGGGCCAGGUGCUGAUGCCAAGCCUAUUUCACUGUGCGUCGAGGAUCAAGACUACAUGGGCAGGAUCAAGAAAUUGCAGGAAUACUUGGAGAAGGUGAAGAGCAUAGUGAAGCCUGGGUGCUCUCAGGAUGUUCUCAAGGCGGCGCUGAGUGCCAUGUCUUCCGUGACGGAGACACUGGCUAUCAUGACUUCCUCUUCUACUGGCCAGCCCCCACUCUGA